rnacentral:rRNA from 1 species
GACGAACGCUGGCGGCGUGCUUAACACAUGCAAGUCGAACGGAAAGGCCCUGCUUUUGUGGGGUGCUCGAGUGGCGAACGGGUGAGUAACACGUGAGUAACCUGCCCUUGACUUUGGGAUAACUUCAGGAAACUGGGGCUAAUACCGGAUAGGAGCUCCUGCUGCAUGGUGGGGGUUGGAAAGUUUCGGCGGUUGGGGAUGGACUCGCGGCUUAUCAGCUUGUUGGUGGGGUAGUGGCUUACCAAGGCUUUGACGGGUAGCCGGCCUGAGAGGGUGACCGGCCACAUUGGGACUGAGAUACGGCCCAGACUCCUACGGGAGGCAGCAGUGGGGAAUAUUGCACAAUGGGCGGAAGCCUGAUGCAGCAACGCCGCGUGCGGGAUGACGGCCUUCGGGUUGUAAACCGCUUUCGCCUGUGACGAAGCGUGAGUGACGGUAAUGGGUAAAGAAGCACCGGCUAACUACGUGCCAGCAGCCGCGGUGAUACGUAGGGUGCGAGCGUUGUCCGGAUUUAUUGGGCGUAAAGGGCUCGUAGGUGGUUGAUCGCGUCGGAAGUGUAAUCUUGGGGCUUAACCCUGAGCGUGCUUUCGAUACGGGUUGACUUGAGGAAGGUAGGGGAGAAUGGAAUUCCUGGUGGAGCGGUGGAAUGCGCAGAUAUCAGGAGGAACACCAGUGGCGAAGGCGGUUCUCUGGGCCUUUCCUGACGCUGAGGAGCGAAAGCGUGGGGAGCGAACAGGCUUAGAUACCCUGGUAGUCCACGCUGUAAACGGUGGGUACUAGGUGUGGGGUCCAUUCCACGGGUUCCGUGCCGUAGCUAACGCUUUAAGUACCCCGCCUGGGGAGUACGGCCGCAAGGCUAAAACUCAAAGGAAUUGACGGGGCCCCGCACAAGCGGCGGAGCAUGCGGAUUAAUUCGAUGCAACGCGUAGAACCUUACCUGGGUUUGACAUGGAUCGGGAGUGCUCAGAGAUGGGUGUGCCUCUUUUGGGGUCGGUUCACAGGUGGUGCAUGGCUGUCGUCAGCUCGUGUCGUGAGAUGUUGGGUUAAGUACCGCAACGAGCGCAACCCUUGUUCACUGUUGCCAGCACGUUAUGGUGGGGACUCAGUGGAGACCGCCGGGGUCAACUCGGAGGAAGGUGGGGAUGACGUCAAGUCAUCAUGCCCCUUAUGUCCAGGGCUUCACGCAUGCUACAAUGGCUGGUACAGAGAGUGGCGAGCCUGUGAGGGUGAGCGAAUCUCGGAAAGCCGGUCUCAGUUCGGAUUGGGGUCUGCAACUCGACCUCAUGAAGUCGGAGUCGCUAGUAAUCGCAGAUCAGCAACGCUGCGGUGAAUACGUUCCCGGG